CCCUUAGAUGUUCUGGGCCGCACGCGCGCUACACUGAUGAAUGCAACGAGCUCUACCCUUGACCGAAAGGCCCGGGUAAACUUGUGAAACUUCAUCGUGAUGGGGAUAGAUUAUUGCAAUUAUUAAUCCUCAACGAGGAAUUCCUAGUAAGCGCGAGUCAUCAGCUCGCGUUGAUUACGUCCCUGCCCUUUGUACACACCGCCCGUCGCUCCUACCGAUUGAAUGGUCCGGUGAAAUCUUCGGAUUGCUGACCAAGAUCCAGCAAUGGAGCUUGGUUGCGAGAAGUUGAUUAAACCUUAUUAUUUAGAGGAAGGAGAAGUCGUAACA
rnacentral:rRNA from 1 species